CUCAUCUUCUCCCUGUUGUGGGGGGCGCGGCACCAAAUGUCACAUCAAGCCAGGGCCCCCUGGCCCAGCCACCCGCUCCUUCCCCGGUACCUCGGGUCCCCGGAUGCCAGGCUCAAGAUGACCACACGGGGGCGACGAGCAUCUAUCCCCUUUCCCCAAGGCUUCAGGGCCAGGCCUGAGCCACACUCCCUGGAGACACGGUCCCUGCCCCCGCAGUCCCCACUCGGGUACCACUGGCCCGUCUGUCUCAGGCUGUCAUCCGGACACAGCCUCAGACAAGGCACACGUGUUUACGUCACACAAAGACACUCCGUGUACCAAGUUCACACGGCCGCUCCUGUCGGCAAAUACUGAUCACCACCUGCUGUUCGCCAGGGGCCUGCUGCUCAGAGCCCUGGGCCUGCAUCACUAAACCAACAGGCCCCACUCUUCCAGGAAGGCUUCUCUGCUGCCCCGGGUGCCGGGUCCUGCCUCUGCUGAGUCCCAGGAUUCACAUAGGGCCUGUUCUCUGCCAGCCGUCAGCAGGCGACAAGGAAUUAAUCCACACAGCCCUCCCCGUCGCUGCGUCAUAGCCCCAGGUGGGUGACCUUGAGCGAGUCACUUGUCUGGGGAAAAUAACAACAAUGGCAAUAGCAAGGAACUAACGCUGAAAUGGGGCUUACUACCUGCCGGGCCCUGGACUCAGGAUGAGCUCAUCUUAUCUUCCCAAUUCAACGGGUAGGUGUCAUCAUCACCCCCAUUUUAGGGCUGAGGAGAACGAGGCACAGAGAGCCUGAAUAACUCGUCCAAGGUCAUGCAGCUCGCGUUGGGACUGGCUCCAAAGCCGGUGCUCUGAACCACUGUUUUCCCAAGUCAGAAUGGUAGAGCAUCUCAUCCGGAUGCCUUGGUAUCCAAGUGGGGAAACCAAGGCCCAGGAGAGAGCAAAGCCUGAGCCGAAGACGCCCAUGCAUUCGCUCAGCUCCUGCUGGGAGGUGACCGAGUGGCAGGCACUGUCCAGGCGCUUCACGGGUAUUAACUCACAACAGUAGGUAGACCAGCAACUUCCUUCAGGCGGGGACUCCAGGCCAGAGAGUAAACUAAGACACAUCCGCCUCCCCGAGUGGUCAAGGGCACAUACACCUGGCAUCGGUGGGAACUUGACCUGAAACUAUUUUGCCUUCAUCACCAUUGCCUCCGCUUGAAGGAGCGGCUGUGGACUCGGUGGCUGUGAACUUUCCAGCAGCGGGCAGUGGAGGCCCCUGGCUGGCCCCCUGUUCCUCCCAUGUAGCCGGCCCUACUAUCCACACUUCAGCCGACUGUGCCAUGCCGGGGGACCUCACGUGCCUUGCACCUCAAGUGUGUGUGUGUGUGUGUGUGUGUGUGUGUGUGUGUGUGUCCUCGCUGGCCCCGAGGGAGGCCCUUGGUUUCCGGUCUGUGUGGCUGAAGGCAGGUGGGUGUCACCCAGCCUUCCUGGCAGCAGUUGUGGCUCUGGCCCUGGGGGCUGGGUCUUCUGCCACACGCCGGGAGGGCUUCCCAAGCAAGAAACAAGACCGAACCGCCUACCACUUCCUGUUGGCAGGUGGCUUGAGCUGGGUGCCUCUCUUACGAAAACCAUACCCAAUGCACAACCCAACUCAGAGCUCCUUUGGAGCCUGCCUUCCCUACCCUCCCCCACCACAUGCACACACACAGUGCCAGCUUGGCAAAAUGUCACUUACUGAGUCCUCAUAAGAACCCUGAGAAGAAGGGCAAGAUGCUCCCUCUGUUUUUUUUUUUUUUUCUUAAAAACACAGCUAUAUUAGUACACACCACAAAAUUUACCGGCAGUAGGCAUACGAUUCAGUGAUUUUAGCAAACGUCCGUUGCCGCAAUCAAGCGCUGCUUUCUGUGUUAUAGAUGAAGAACCUAGGAGGUGGUGAUUUACUAUGGUUCUGGAAAAGACAGCCACUGUCCACCAAAACUUUGUGUUCCCUCUUUUAUAAUACAGAGCUGCUGCUGGAGGGUGGCUGUCGGCAGGGUACUGCAUUUCCUGCCUGCCUUGCAUUAGGAUGUGGCCAUGUGACCAGUUUUCCCCAAUGGAACGCCAGCAGCGAUGAUAGAUGUGACUGUCUUUUAGGACUGGGAGGAGUUCCUCCAUUCUCUCAUCGGUCCUAAAAGACAGUGGAGCUACAAGAUAGGAAGGAGGAGCCUGGGUGCCUGGCUGUAGGUCUCCCGGCCAAGAGGAUUACCCACUCUGCAUUUUAUGGGAGCCAGGAGUGAACGGCUAUUGUGUUAGGCUGCUGAGAUACAGGGGCCUGCUUGUUACAGCAGCUAGCAUUACUCUAAUCCAAGGAUUAUGUAGCAAGGAGGCCAAAAAGGUAUGAUUUGAGCCUCGGUUUGUCCACUUGCCUGGAGGAUGGCCAGUCUCAAAAGAGAGGGGGGCCUGCAUGUGCCCUGUCUCCUGGGAGGAUAACAAUACUGGCAAAUGUUUAUUGAGUGUUUCCAUAUGUCGGGUGCUGUGCUAACCACGAUGGAUUCAAUCAUUUAACAGUUACAAGCCUGGGCAGCAGGUUCCCCUAUCAUUACCCCAUUUUACAGAAAGGACUACUGAUACACUGGUGGGCUAACUAAUUCGGAUUUGAACUCAGGCGUCAGGCUUCAGGUCCCGUGCUCUCAUGCACCGCGUCCUCUGAGGCUCCUGAAGGUAAACCCAAGCAAACAGCAACCUAAAAUGAGACCGUUGUUACAGUCCCAACAGGGAGGACAUGUGUUCUCCAUCACUGGGGGAGAGAAGCAGAGAGUGGGGAGUUGGGGGCGGGAGGUGAGGUUGGAUCAAGUGA